AGGGGUAUAGCUCAGUGGUAGAGUACUUGUCUAGAAUACAUAAGGCCCUGUGUUCAAUCCCCAGCACCCCUA
rfam:Ictidomys tridecemlineatus contig034890, whole genome shotgun sequence.